CUAACCAUAGGCCAUGAGUCUGGUCUGGGGACACUGUCAGGUGGGCAGUUUGACUGGGGCGGGCGCCUCCCAAAAGGUAACGGAUGCGCUCAAAGGUUCUCUCAGUACGGUCGGAAAUCGUACGUAGGGUGUAAAGGCAAAAGAGAGCUUGAUUGCAAGACAUACAGGUCGAGCAAGGAUGAAAAUCGGACUUAGUGAUCCGGUGGUUCUGCGUGGAAGGGCCA
rnacentral:rRNA from 1 species